rnacentral:lncRNA from 1 species
AUGAAGAUGAUCCUGGUGCGCCGGUUCCGCGUGCUCAUCCUGAUGGUGUUCCUGGUGGCCUGCGCGCUGCACAUCGCCCUGGACCUGCUGCCCAGGCUGGAGCGACGCGGCGCGCGGCCCUCGGGGGAGCCCGGCUGUUCGUGCGCGCAGCCCGCCGCCGAGGUGGCCGCGCCCGGCUGGGCCCAGGUUCGGGGCCGCCCCGGGGAGCCCCCGGCCGCCUCCUCCGCCGCCGGCGACGCGGGCUGGCCCAACAAGCACACGCUCCGCAUCCUGCAGGACUUCAGCUCCGACCCCUCCUCCAACCUCUCGUCCCACUCGCUGGAGAAACUGCCGCCGGCGGCCGAGCCGGCCGAGCGCGCCUUGCGGGGGCGGGAUCCCGGCGCCCUAAGACCCCACGACCCCGCGCACCGGCCGCUGCUGCGAGACCCCGGCCCGCGUCGGUCCGAGUCGCCCCCCGGCCCCGGCGGAGACGCCUCCCUCCUGGCCAGGCUGUUCGAGCACCCGCUGUACCGGGUGGCGGUUCCGCCGCUCACGGAGGAGGACGGCCUGUUCACUGUGAACAGCGACACCAGGCUCAGCCCCAAAGCGGCGGAGAACCCGGGCUGGCCGCAUGCGGGUGCUGAAGGUGCAGAAUUCCCCUCCCCCGGGGAGGCGGCCGUGGACUCCUAUCCCAACUGGCUCAAGUUCCACAUUGGUAUCAACCGGUACGAGCUGUACUCCAGACACAACCCGGCCAUCGAGGCCCUGCUGCACGACCUCAGCUCCCAGAGGAUCACCAGCGUGGCCAUGAAGUCGGGGGGCACGCAGCUGAAGCUCAUCAUGACCUUCCAGAAUUACGGGCAAGCGCUGUUCAAACCCAUGAAGUUCAUUCAGGAGCAUUCCCUGGAGGGGUGGCCCCGUCACGCCGAGCUACGGAACGUUGAGUGCUGUGUCCCGUCCGCAGAGAGCAGAGUGUUCCUGGGCGCCAGCUUGUCCGGCCCCUAUUUCAUGGUCCGCGUGAAUCCUCAGGCCCCGUUUCUCAUCUCUGAGGAGGUGGAAAGUGCAGCUGUGGUUGGAGAACGGUGACAUUUACCAAGCCGCUGCUCUAACCCAGGCCCUGCGGGAACCGGCGUCUCGUGGGCACUCGGUAGCUGUGGGCCCGGCCUGUGCUUGGGGUUUAUAUACAGAAGCCUUUAUGUUUGUCCAUCCUCACAUGGCCCUGUGAGUUAUAGGAGGUGACGUUUACCGCUGCGUAAAGACGAGACAACUGGGGUUUAGAGAAGGAAAGUACAGACCCUCCUGGACCAGGAUCCAGUGUCCCCUUAAGCCCAGGGUGCGCGACCUACCCUCCGCCUCCCCCAGCCUUCUCCCGUCCUCCUGCCCCGUCAGCCUCCCCUGGGCCUCCUCCCAGCCUCCUCCAACCUCCCUCAGUCUCCCCUCGGACCUUCCCAUGCCUUCCCUGGACCUCCCCCCAGCCUCCUCCAACCUCCCUCAGCCUCCCCCAACCUCCCUCAGCCUCCUCCAACCUCCCUCAGCCUCC